rnacentral:rRNA from 1 species
ACGGGAGGCAGCGGUGGGGGAUAUUGCACAAUGGGGGAAACCCUGAUGCAGCGACGCCGCGUGAGUGAAGAAGUAUUUCGGUAUGUAAAGCUCUAUCAGCAGGAAAGAUAAUGACGGUACCUGACUAAGAAGCACCGGCUAAAUACGUGCCAGCAGCCGCGGUAAUACGUAGGGGGCAAGCGUUAUCCGGAUUUAUUGGGUUUAAAGGGCGUGUAGGCGGGACAGCAAGUCAGAUGUGAAAGCAUGAGGCUCAACUUCGUGUCUGCAUUUGAAACUGCUGUUCUUGAGUGCUGGAGAGGCUAACGGAACUCCUAGUGUAGCGGUGAAAUGCGUAGAUAUUAGGAAGAACACCAGUGGCGAAGGCGGUUAGCUGGACAGUAACUGACGCUGAGGCGCGAAAGCGUGGGUAGCAAACAGGAUUAGAUACCCUGGUA